UUUGGCAAACCAAUUUUGACACUGCCUUUGUUUCAAGGUUUCAUUCCCAUAUACGGCACAUAACUUGUUGUGUUCUUAUCUUUUUGGAAAUAAUACAAUAAAAUAUGUCUGAAAUGGGCGUCUUAUUCUCCCAUUUUUAAAUUGGGAUAAAAACGAAACUAAAUAAAUAAUCGAUACAAUUUUUUUACUAAAUUAAAAGUGGAGGUCCAAGCAACAAGAAAAAAUAUAGGUUAGGUGCUUUGGACAUGUUGACAAAACAAAAGAAUGUGCUAAGCAUAAUGAAUAGCAUAUGGACUCAAAAAGCAUAUUUAAAAAAACAGACAAUAGAUCUUUUGUCUUUCCCUGACAAGUCUCCUGACAUUAAAACGAUUACAAAGCAGGGAAUGACUUUAAUAAAUAAAUAUAACUGUAGCCUCGCUGAUCGCAAACAGUCUCUGCAUAGAUUUGUAAGAAAAAAAUACCCAAGAAGUAGUGUUUCAUUUUAAGAAACGUUCGAAAAUUGUUGAAUAACUGGAAAAUGGAAACUAGCUCGAAAUUUCAAAAAAAGAUGAAAAAAUACCAGAUCGUGCCCUUUCAUGAAGCUUCCCAACAUUCUUACGAUCAUCUGCCCACUAAAUCACGCACGGUAUAGGUUGCAAUGCAAAAUACAAAAGAGCUGGUGUCUCCUACCACGUAGAUGUAUUCAAAUAUUCCCAACGAAUCUUCCGUGAUUUACGUCAGGGUCCAUAGAUCCGGCAGAUAGGUCGUUACGUAGGCAAAACGGCGACAAAAAUUAUUUUCGAAGCUGUUCCAUAUACGAGCGAGUCAGUGACUUAACCUUCUGAUACGUCGAUCGCGUGACCUUCUCGGUCGGUGUCGGAUUCCCCUUAAAAAUGGAAGCAACGAAAAUGCAUUUUCCACAGGGACGGGAGAGCGCGCACGUCUUGUCGAGGAUGGCGCAUCGGAAACGAAGAUACGGUUUCCCUUUAUUUCUGCUCCGUAGUCAUAUGUCACGAUAGAAAUAUCCCUAGUCGAGAAACACGGGCUGAAUCCACGCGGCGUACGUGCCGAGUAUCGAGAUCUCUUCCUUUGCUCGGUGACGCGGUCUGCGAGUCUCUUUUAUUGCGACAGCUUAGGUUUCGUUUAAGAAGAAAUAUGGGCUGCCGUGAAUGGCUGAAACGAAACGAUGUUACGCGCACGUCCCUUCGGUAAAUCGUACGUUUGUAUUCGAUGGUGUGUUGCACAGUCACUGCUGAACAUUUUAAAUCCACGGUUAAUUACAUUAACACAUUGCGUACGGCGCUCUGCUCUCCAGAAGCAUCUUGGUAAACAAUAGGAUGCAUAUAUGGUGUUAAGAAAUGUUAGGUUGGCAUGAUCGCUAGUUACUGCAAGCUAAGUUGGUACGACUUCUAACGACGCUCUUUUGUCUUAGAAGUCGACCAUGUGUUAAUUGACCGAGUGUAUUCUGUGUCUUAAGACGUGUUGUACGAGGCGGAAAAAUAUAUUGGAGAAAAUCGAAUCUGCGUGGAUCGAUUAAUUAAUAACUUCAAACCCAUAUCAAUUAACAUAUGCACAUUUUUAAUUUGCAUUUGGUAUUAUAUUUUUUACUCAGUCUUCUUCUAUGUCUAAUCGCAUCGCUUAAUUCAAGAAUAUUGCUGCUAUCACUGAAUUCAUUUUCGUUGUAAGUGAUGUUACCUGUAUCAGAUAAAUCAUCAAACAAUUCACUUUGACUUUCAUUUUCUUUACAUCUAUGUGUCAUUUUGCUACUUUUAUAGAAUUAGGGCCUGUUUCAUAAAAUAAUUUUUGUUAUAAAUUGUCAGUAACAGAGUGAAAAUGUAAAUGAUUUUUAAAAAGCUGUUUCCUUACAAAUUAAAAUACAAACUUUGAAAUAAUGAAAUGUACAACAAUAAAAUACAUUAUAAGGUACGAUAGACGAUCGACACAGAUCUUCCGAUGUACUGGCUAUAAAAGACUCAUUGUUUUUAUAUGCUGGAAAUGUCAACAUUCAUUUGUUUUCUUAAUUAUUAGUCGGAAAAAUGUGCAAGGCUUCAUUAGCCUGUUAACGUAACAAAAACAUUUGUCUCUGGUUACUUAAGUCAUCGAUUCAGUCGAAAAAACAUGAAAACGAGAUAUCUCGUGUAUAUGUAUUGAGAUAUGUGUAAUUUUAAUGGUGAUACACAUAUAUAAGUAUGAGUGUGUGGCAUUAUGUGCGUGCGCAGCGUCUCGUAAAACAGAUGAAUGCAACUGUUCCGUUGGUAGUGUGGUAAAGAAGAUGGCGAGACAAAGAGAAUACUGAGACGCGUGCAAAUGUGUAUCCAUGAAUAUCUUGUAAAUCACAUAUUAAAUAAAUUUGAAACUAUUUUGACAUCAAUUCUAAGUAUAUUAUAAAUGUUGCUAUAUAUUUAUUUCGGUGAUCAAUACCCACAAUUCUCAACAAUAUGUUAUAUGUGUCCAAAUAUGCUGUAUACAGAGUGGUUGACUAACUCGUCGAGCGCUAUGAACGAGCAUAUGCGUUCUCACAUAACCACUCAAUUUAGACUAAAAAUGGCGUUAAAGUGGCGUGAUAAAAAAGACGUAUGGGUGUUAUCCAUCUGACACUCUGAUGAUUUCGUUGAAACAGAAAAAAGUUAAUUAUCAAAUUGACAAAGCAAAGCGAAAACCAAAGUGUGUAGCAAACUACAAUGUCUUGAUGGGCGCAGUUGGUAAAAUCGAUAUGAUUUUGAGUUCACUUCGCUGCGUUCGAAAAAGCACAAAAUGGUAUAAAAAAUAUUUUUUCCACCUCUUAGACCUCGCAAUAUAUAAUACAUAUAUUCUUGACAAAAGUGCUAAUAAUAAAACUGGAACAUUUAAAAAUUUUCAUCUGCUUCUCAUAAAAGAUAUUUUGCAAAAAUACCCACCAUGCUAAGGGAGGAAGAGUUGAUCGACCUUCCAUUUCGGUUAACGAAGAGGUAUUUCCCUACAUCUUGCGUAACUAAAGAAAAUAAUAAACAUUCUUCACGACGAAGAUGCGCCGUUUGCACUAAACAUAAUCGCAGGACUGACUCGCGUUACGAAUGCAAAGAAUGUAACAUUGACUUAUACAGGGUGGUUAGUAACUGGUCGUACAAGUGGAAAGGGGGUGAUUCUACGCGAAAAAAGAAGUCGAAAAUAUAGAAUAAAAAAAUUUUUUUUUAAUUUUUCCAUCGAGACAACGAUCUACAGUAAGGUACGUUAUAACGUACCGCACGCGUACCGAGCGAAAAUUCAAAGUCGAUUUUCUCGAAACCAAAGCCUCAAACGAAAAAUUUUUAUUCUAUAUUUUCGACUUCUUUUUUCGCGUAGAAUCACCCCCUUACCGCUUGUACCACUAGUUACCAACCACCCUGUAUAUUGAACCCUGCUUCCAGAUUUACAAUACAAUACAAAAUUAUUAAAUUUCAUUAUUAUCAUUAUUAUCAUAUUAAAAGAUAUAAUUUCAAACUUUGAUAUUGUUCAUGUUAUUAUUGCUUAAUGAAAUAAAUGAUUAUUAAGGCUUUUCAGGUCACUACAUAAUUUAUUUUAGCUACAAUCAAUAUAUUUUGCAAUGAAAAUUCAAUCUGCUCAACUUGCGCUCUUUCGUAAAAAAUACGCAGCCCACGGUGUGCUUUUCUGUAAAGAGUGGGCCGCCCAUGGCCCACGCUUAACGUCGGACAACGCAGCGCUCAAAAGGCUACAAAUUUGGGUUAGUACGUGGCUCUGUUUCACUUUCAAUUAUGUUAUUAAUGGAAUUUACUUUCUGUAAAAUCUUUUAGAAUAUCAUAUUUAAUCGGAUGAAGUGAAUAUUGUAUUUUUUCUUUCUUUCGUUCAAGCAGUUUCAAUAUCUCCGUGAAGAUUAUUUUGCGUUACAUUGCACAAUGUAUCAGAGAAUAGAUUACAAAUCGCAAAUACGUUCUAUUGGUAUUUUAUAUAUCAAUGAUCUUUUGUACGCUAAAGCUAUCCGAACAAAUGAAUAAACAACAAAAUUUCAUCGAUUAUUUCACCCCUUUCGCCAUUUAUUAUUUCCACGUGAAACUAGUCGAAAGAUUUAUACAACCCGACGAUACAUUCGUCCCAUUCUGACGUUUACUGAUAUUUCAUAUACUAAUAAUGUGUUGUACGCCAAAGGCAGACGAACAAAUGAAUAAAAAAGAAAAAUCAAUCAGUCGUCGGCCUUUCAUCCCUCUGGUCGUUUAUUCAAAAAUGAAACUCGAUGAAAAAUUCAAACUAUCCAUCGAUACUCAUACAUUCGCUACUCUGAGAACAUACACUGUGCUUCUCUAAUAAAUCAUCUGCAUUUUCAAAACUACCUCGUCAAACACGCAUCUCCACCUAUCAGCCGAAAUUUCCAUAUAUACUCGUCGAUCCAUAAUUCGCCAGACUAUUCCAUAUUCGUCGCUUCGAGGCGUAGAAAUAGAACGAGCCACGGAACAAGCAGAAACGCUUCAUCGAGGGGAUUGAAUUUUUAUGUCGCUUCGCGAAUAUCUGUCACCGCGUUUCUCCGCUAAAACUGCACCAUUUUUUCCUCGUUGGCCGGCGAUGUUCGUCGAUUAUCUGCUAAUGCACUCUACGAUAGACUGAACGACCAGAAACUGGUAUUCGUAUCUCCCACGUUUCAUCCAAGUUUUCGACUAAACGCGUAUCUUCUAUGAAAUCGUCCGACUGAUUUUUUAUUCACCAGCUUCAUCGUCCGAGUACUUUAGAUGCGGCUGGCGGACCGUUGAGGAAAAAUAGCGGAAACUUUUCCAUUUUAGAUGGGCCGCCGAUAAAGGAAAGAGAGCUACGUUUGUAUAAUGGGACGUGUCUAGCCAACGAUGGCUCGACGAGGGAAGAGACGCGUCUUCCUUCUCUGGAUACCAUCUUUGUCGUUCAAAAUUAUUCCAUUAUCUCUUCCAUUCUGGUCUUUUUUUUUUUCUUUCCUCGGGUUUUUAAAUUUACAUAUAUACAUAUUGAAGACAUAUUUUUGAUUGACACAGUCCAUCGAAGCAGGAUAAGAAUUUUGUGAAAUUACACGGAGUUUUCAGAAGUGAAACGUUCAUAUCGAAAUUCUAAGUAACACGUUCUUUCGUAUAUGUCGAUUCCACAGCGUCAUUUUACCUAAAUUCAACUUUCUAAUCGUGUACACUAGAUACUUAGACGAUUAUACACAAAUAUUACCAACUUUAGAAGACAAAAAGAACUGCGAUGAAGAAACGGAUGAUGGAAAAAUGUUGGGUUGGCAACUAAGUGAUUGCGGACUUCGUCACUAGAUGGUAUUGACAAAAGUCGCAAUCACUUAGUUGCCAACCCAAUAUAUAUGCAGAUGCGAACGUUGAUACAUUUUCAAAAAGGUUUUGCUUAUUUGUUCGAAGCACAGAGGUGACUGUCUUCGUAUAUACAAUUUACAGACUGAGAAAUAACGUUUUAAGAAACUACUGAAAACAAUCUACGAGAGACAACAAGAGAAAUGGGCUUUCAAACGAAGCUAACCUAUUCUACCAUUCAUUUCCUUCAAAUUGCAAACGUAAAGGAAAUGGUUAAAUGGAUUUCCUCCGAGUUACUGAUGCUACGAAGGCUUGAGCGAAUGAAGACAGCUACCUCUGUGUUUUCAAAGAAAUAAGCAAAACCCCUUUUGAAAACAUACCAAGGUUGUCGAGUCGACGAGCAGUGGAUCUCGUCAGAAGAAACUGUGACCGUGGUGAUACUUGUUCGUCGUUCGACAACUACCUGAAAUUUCAACUCUAAAAUACUCAACAGCAAUUAUUAUUUAGAAAAGUUGAUCUAAAAAUCGUCAAAAAUUUCCACGAUUCCCGUGGAAAAUCUCAGGAAACGUUCCGCUCGAGCGAUCGGUUAGAGCGACACCCUCUUUCCGCUAAUCUCACGAUGGACAGCCUUCCGCGAAACAGUGCUAUUGUUUUGACCAGGAAACGUCAUCUAUCGGCACGCCUUCGACUUCUGUUUCGUAUCGCGUCCGAUGUUUAUUGUCCGCUCGAACGAUCACCGCGCUCUCCGGUCGCAACCUCGUAAACAAUUGCUCAGGCAGUUCCAGUCGUUUAAACAUGGCCGCUAGCUGAACGUGGGACGUUUUACGCGAAAACACAUCUACAGCCAGAGAGAAUAUAACUGGUCGCGACAGAAAAAUCGGUACGGAUAUUCAGCUGAGAGCUUGUAAAUAUACCAAGUGGCUGACGAAAGUAUUCGCUUACAUAUGCAAACUUGAAUGGGCGAAAUAAUGUACGUUAGAGUAAUUUGGUUAGGCAAGCAGAUGUCAAUAGGAAGAUGGAAAUUUUGAGGUUAUGUCAGUAAAAUUUGAAAAGGAUUCAACGACGUAGGUUAGGAGUUUGAUACAUUUAUUAGAAACACGCAUUCCCAUAAAUUUUCAAUCGGAUUUAUGUCUGGACUUUGCGGUGGAGUAAUUAGCAUGCGUUGUGUGUUAUAUACGAUUCAUUCUUUCGCAAUUCUAGCAGUACGCUUAGGAUCAUUAUCUUGUUGGAAGUGGAAAUCUUCCAAUAAUCCUAAUCUACGGGCACUUUCUUUAAGUACUCUGCCUUGGAAAUCAUUGUUUCGUCAGAUUCGUCGACAUAAUUCCGGGUGAACUUCUUCAUGAAACAUAUCAGCUACCAUACUUGCGAGUCGAGGAGCGGAUGCAGUAGGAUUUUUUUUUAAUUCGCGAACGAUAACUUUCUCCUCUCUUCCAGUCAAUUUCUUUGGUCGACCUGAUCGAGCUUUGUUUGCAAGUGUUCCCUCAUUCUCUCACUUGUUUAUGAUAUAAUGUAUCGUGGACUUACUUCUGUUCACAAUUCCGGCAGUCUCGUUAUAUGAUAUGCCGUCCUCGUGUAAUCGGAUAUUAUUUCUCUUUCACACUUUUUUGUUUCACACUUUUUGGUAUUCAUUUUAAAUACUGUUAUGCACACUUUUACGUUACUGUUACCGAAACGAUAUCCUAACAUCAAGUGAACGUACCAAUAUUUUCAUCUAGCAAUAAUGUUUGCAUUCGCUGCAAAGGAAAAUAGAAAAUUAUCAACAGUGUUACAGCGUUCGAAUACUUUUGUGAAACACUUAUCAUGAAUGUUUCUAACAAAUGUAUCGUAACUCCUGUCUAUAUUAUUGAAUCAUUUUCAAAUUUUACUGAUGUAAUCUUGACACUUUCCUGUCAUUAUGAAUACCAAAUUGUUUUAACAAAUUAGUUUAGUACACCUCAUUCUAUUAAUUGAAAUUUGUAAGCGUCUUUAAUUCUCUUCGUGUGAUAUUUUCAGGUUUAAUCUCUUAGAGGCAUCGAUUUAGAUUUAUAUUUUUGUGAUACUUUUAAAAUUACAAUAAAUAAAUGUCUAUUGA